rnacentral:rRNA from 1 species
UACGAAGGGGGCUAGCGUUGUUCGGAAUCACUGGGCGUAAAGCGCACGCAGGCGGAUCGAUAAGUCGGGGGUGAAAGCCCGGGGCUCAACCUCGGAAUUGCCUUCGAUACUGUCGGUCUCGAGUCCGGGAGAGGUGAGUGGAAUUCCUAGUGUAGAGGUGAAAUUCGUAGAUAUUAGGAAGAACACCAGUGGCGAAGGCGGCUCACUGGCCCGGUACUGACGCUGAGACGCGAAAGCGUGGGGAGCAAACAGG